GUCCACGCCCUAAACGAUGAUAACUCGCUGUUGGCGAUACACAGCCAGCGGCCAAGCGAAAGCAUUAAGUUAUCCACCUGGGGAGUACGACCGCAAGGUUGAAACUCAAAGGAAUUGACGGGGCCGCACAAGCGGAGGAGCAUGUGGUUUAAUUCGAUGAUACGCGAGGAACCUUACCUGGGCUUGAAAGUUAGCGACCGACUCAGAAAAGAGUCUUUCAGAAAUGACGCGAAACUAGGUGCUGCAUGGCUGUCGU
rnacentral:rRNA from 1 species